UACAGGGGGUGCAAACGGUGCUCGGAAUCAUUGGGCGUAAAGCGCACGUAGGCGGUUCGUUAUGUCGGAUGUGAAAGCCCUUGGCUUAACCGAGGAAGUGCAUCCGAAACUGGCGAGCUAGAGUACUAAAGAGGAUCGCGGAAUUCCCGGUGUAGAGGUGAAAUUCGUAGAUAUCGGGAGGAACGCCGGUGGCGAAGGCGGCGAUCUGGGUAGAUACUGACGCUGAGGUGCGAAAGCGUGGGGAGCAAACAGG
rnacentral:rRNA from 1 species